rnacentral:misc_RNA from 1 species
GAUGAAGAACGUAGCGAAAUGCGAUAAGUAAUGUGAAUUGCAGAAUUCAGUGAAUCAUCGAAUCUUUGAACGCACAUUGCGCCCGCCAGUAUUCUGGCGGGCAUGCCUGUCCGAGCGUCAUUUCAACCAUCAAGCCUCGUGCUUGUGUUGGGGACCUGCGUCCGACGCAGGCCCUGAAAACCAGUGGCGGGCUCGCUGUCCACACCGAGCGUAGUAACUAACCUCGCUAUGGAGUGGCGCGGGCGCCUGCCGUAAAACCCCCAAUUUCACAAGGUUGACCUCGGAUCAGGUAGGAAUACCCGCUGAACUUAAGCAUAUCAAUAAGCGGAGGA